rnacentral:rRNA from 1 species
CGGGACGGGUGAGUAAUGUCGUAGGAAUCGCCGAUGGAGGGGGAUAACUACUGGAAACGGUAGCUAAUACCGCAUAACGUCGCAAGACCAAAGAGGGGGACCUUCGGGCCUCUUGCCAUCGGAUGUGCCCAGAUGGGAUUAGCUAGUAGGUGGGGUAACGGCUCACCUAGGCGACGAUCCCUAGCUGGUCUGAGAGGAUGACCAGCCACACUGGAACUGAGACACGGUCCAG